rnacentral:rRNA from 1 species
UACGUAGGGUGCGAGCGUUGUCCGGAAUUAUUGGGCGUAAAGAGCUCGUAGGCGGUGUGUCGCGUCGGCCGUGAAAACCUGGGGCUCAACUCUGGGCGUGCGGUCGAUACGGGCAUCACUUGAGUUCGGCAGGGGAGACUGGAAUUCCUGGUGUAGCGGUGGAAUGCGCAGAUAUCAGGAGGAACACCGAUGGCGAAGGCAGGUCUCUGGGCCAUUACUGACACUGAGAAGCGAAAGCAUGGGGAGCGAACAGG